rnacentral:rRNA from 1 species
GGGUUGUGAGGUUAAGCGACUAAGCGUACACGGUGGAUGCCCUGGCAGUCAGAGGCGAUGAAGGACGUGCUAAUCUGCGAUAAGCGUCGGUGAGGUGAUAUGAACCGUUAUAACCGGCGAUUUCCGAAUGGGGAAACCCAGUGUGAUUCGUCACACUAUCAUUAACUGAAUCCAUAGGUUAAUGAGGCGAACCGGGGGAACUGAAACAUCUAAGUACCCCGAGGAAAAGAAAUCAACCGAGAUUCCCCCAGUAGCGGCGAGCGAACGGGGAGCAGCCCAGAGCCUGAAUCAGUGUGUGUGUUAGUGGAAGCGUCUGGAAAGGCGCGCGAUACAGGGUGACAGCCCCGUACACAAAAAUGCACAUACUGUGAGCUCGAUGAGUAGGGCGGGACACGUGGUAUCCUGUCUGAAUAUGGGGGGACCAUCCUCCAAGGCUAAAUACUCCUGACUGACCGAUAGUGAACCAGUACCGUGAGGGAAAGGCGAAAAGAACCCCGGCGAGGGGAGUGAAAAAGAACCUGAAACCGUGUACGUACAAGCAGUGGGAGCACGCUUCGGCGUGUGACUGCGUACCUUUUGUAUAAUGGGUCAGCGACUUAUAUUCUGUAGCAAGGUUAACCGAAUAGGGGAGCCGAAGGGAAACCGAGUCUUAACUGGGCGUUAAGUUGCAGGGUAUAGACCCGAAACCCGGUGAUCUAGCCAUGGGCAGGUUGAAGGUUGGGUAACACUAACUGGAGGACCGAACCGACUAAUGUUGAAAAAUUAGCGGAUGACUUGUGGCUGGGGGUGAAAGGCCAAUCAAACCGGGAGAUAGCUGGUUCUCCCCGAAAGCUAUUUAGGUAGCGCCUCGUGAAUUCAUCUCCGGGGGUAGAGCACUGUUUCGGCAAGGGGGUCAUCCCGACUUACCAACCCGAUGCAAACUGCGAAUACCGGAGAAUGUUAUCACGGGAGACACACGGCGGGUGCUAACGUCCGUCGUGAAGAGGGAAACAACCCAGACCGCCAGCUAAGGUCCCAAAGUCAUGGUUAAGUGGGAAACGAUGUGGGAAGGCCCAGACAGCCAGGAUGUUGGCUUAGAAGCAGCCAUCAUUUAAAGAAAGCGUAAUAGCUCACUGGUCGAGUCGGCCUGCGCGGAAGAUGUAACGGGGCUAAACCAUGCACCGAAGCUGCGGCAGCGACACUAUGUGUUGUUGGGUAGGGGAGCGUUCUGUAAGCCUGCGAAGGUGUACUGUGAGGUAUGCUGGAGGUAUCAGAAGUGCGAAUGCUGACAUAAGUAACGAUAAAGCGGGUGAAAAGCCCGCUCGCCGGAAGACCAAGGGUUCCUGUCCAACGUUAAUCGGGGCAGGGUGAGUCGACCCCUAAGGCGAGGCCGAAAGGCGUAGUCGAUGGGAAACAGGUUAAUAUUCCUGUACUUGGUGUUACUGCGAAGGGGGGACGGAGAAGGCUAUGUUGGCCGGGCGACGGUUGUCCCGGUUUAAGCGUGUAGGCUGGUUUUCCAGGCAAAUCCGGAAAAUCAAGGCUGAGGCGUGAUGACGAGGCACUACGGUGCUGAAGCAACAAAUGCCCUGCUUCCAGGAAAAGCCUCUAAGCAUCAGGUAACAUCAAAUCGUACCCCAAACCGACACAGGUGGUCAGGUAGAGAAUACCAAGGCGCUUGAGAGAACUCGGGUGAAGGAACUAGGCAAAAUGGUGCCGUAACUUCGGGAGAAGGCACGCUGAUAUGUAGGUGAAGUCCCUCGCGGAUGGAGCUGAAAUCAGUCGAAGAUACCAGCUGGCUGCAACUGUUUAUUAAAAACACAGCACUGUGCAAACACGAAAGUGGACGUAUACGGUGUGACGCCUGCCCGGUGCCGGAAGGUUAAUUGAUGGGGUCAGCGCAAGCGAAGCUCUUGAUCGAAGCCCCGGUAAACGGCGGCCGUAACUAUAACGGUCCUAAGGUAGCGAAAUUCCUUGUCGGGUAAGUUCCGACCUGCACGAAUGGCGUAAUGAUGGCCAGGCUGUCUCCACCCGAGACUCAGUGAAAUUGAACUCGCUGUGAAGAUGCAGUGUACCCGCGGCAAGACGGAAAGACCCCGUGAACCUUUACUAUAGCUUGACACUGAACAUUGAGCCUUGAUGUGUAGGAUAGGUGGGAGGCUUUGAAGUGUGGACGCCAGUCUGCAUGGAGCCGGCCUUGAAAUACCACCCUUUAAUGUUUGAUGUUCUAACGUAGACCCGUGAUCCGGGUUGCGGACAGUGUCUGGUGGGUAGUUUGACUGGGGCGGUCUCCUCCUAAAGAGUAACGGAGGAGCACGAAGGUUGGCUAAUCCUGGUCGGACAUCAGGAGGUUAGUGCAAUGGCAUAAGCCAGCUUGACUGCGAGCGUGACGGCGCGAGCAGGUGCGAAAGCAGGUCAUAGUGAUCCGGUGGUUCUGAAUGGAAGGGCCAUCGCUCAACGGAUAAAAGGUACUCCGGGGAUAACAGGCUGAUACCGCCCAAGAGUUCAUAUCGACGGCGGUGUUUGGCACCUCGAUGUCGGCUCAUCACAUCCUGGGGCUGAAGUAGGUCCCAAGGGUAUGGCUGUUCGCCAUUUAAAGUGGUACGCGAGCUGGGUUUAGAACGUCGUGAGACAGUUCGGUCCCUAUCUGCCGUGGGCGCUGGAGAACUGAGGGGGGCUGCUCCUAGUACGAGAGGACCGGAGUGGACGCAUCACUGGUGUUCGGGUUGUCAUGCCAAUGGCACUGCCCGGUAGCUAAAUGCGGAAGAGAUAAGUGCUGAAAGCAUCUAAGCACGAAACUUGCCCCGAGAUGAGUUCUCCCUGACCCUUUAAGGGUCCUGAAGGAACGUUGAAGACGACGACGUUGAUAGGCCGGGUGUGUAAGCGCAGCGAUGCGUUGAGCUAACCGGUACUAAUGAACCGUGAGGCUUAACCUUACAACGCCGAAGGUGUUU